rnacentral:rRNA from 1 species
GAUGAACGCUGGCGGCGUGCCUAAUACAUGCAAGUAGAACGCUGAAGGAAGGAGCUUGCUCUUUCCGGAUGAGUUGCGAACGGGUGAGAAACGCGUAGGUAACCUGCCUGGUAGCGGGGGAUAACUAUUGGAAACGAUAGCUAAUACCGCAUAACAGUAGAUGUUGCAUGAUAUCUACUUAAAAGGUGCAAUUGCACCACUACCAGAUGGACCUGCGUUGUAUUAGCUAGUUGGUGAGGUAACGGCUCACCAAGGCGACGAUACAUAGCCGACCUGAGAGGGUGAUCGGCCACACUGGGACUGAGACACGGCCCAGACUCCUACGGGAGGCAGCAGUAGGGAAUCUUCGGCAAUGGACGGAAGUCUGACCGAGCAACGCCGCGUGAGUGAAGAAGGUUUUCGGAUCGUAAAGCUCUGUUGUAAGAGAAGAACGAGUGUGAGAGUGGAAAGUUCACACUGUGACGGUAGCUUACCAGAAAGGGACGGCUAACUACGUG